UGCGGAGGAUCCGAGCGUUAUCCGGAUUUAUUGGGUUUAAAGGGUGCGCAGGCGGGGGAUUAAGUCGGCGGUGAAAUUUUGCAGCUCAACUGUAAAAGUGCCUUCGAAACUGGUUUCCUUGAGUGUAGAUGAAGUAGGCGGAAUUUGUGGUGUAGCGGUGAAAUGCAUAGAUAUCACGAGGAACUCCGAUUGCGCAGGCAGCUUACUAAACUACUACUGACGCUCAUGCACGAAGGCGUGGGGAUCAAACAGGAUUAGAUACCCU
rnacentral:rRNA from 1 species